GGCCCCCCCUUCCGUAGGGUGANUUUCCCGUAAGGGGACCUGCGGAAGGAUCAUUACCGAGUGCGGGCCCUCUGGGUCCAACCUCCCAUCCGUGUCUAUCUGUACCCUGUUGCUUCGGCGUGGCCACGGCCCGCCGGAGACUAACAUUUGAACGCUGUCUGAAGUUUGCAGUCUGAGUUUUUAGUUAAACAAUCGUUAAAACUUUCAACAACGGAUCUCUUGGUUCCGGCAUCGAUGAAGAACGCAGCGAAAUGCGAUAAUUAAUGUGAAUUGCAGAAUUCAGUGAAUCAUCGAGUCUUUGAACGCACAUUGCGCCCCCUGGUAUUCCGGGGGGCAUGCCUGUCCGAGCGUCAUUGCUGCCCUCAAGCACGGCUUGUGUGUUGGGCUUCCGUCCCUGGCAACGGGGACGGGCCCAAAAGGCAGUGGCGGCACCAUGUCUGGUCCUCGAGCGUAUGGGGCUUUGUCACCCGCUCCCGUAGGUCCAGCUGGCAGCUAGCCUCGCAACCAAUCUUUUUAACCAGGUUGACCUCGGAUCAGGUAGGGAUACCCGCUGAACUUAAGCAUA
rnacentral:rRNA from 1 species